UGACUUUUUACUUACAGACAAUAUGUUAGUCACAAAACAGAAAUAAUAAAGUUGACUUUCUGAUCUUAUUUAUUUAUUUAUUUAUUUAUUUAUUUAUUUACUUAUUUAUUUAUUUCUUUUACUGGGACAGGAAGCCAAAUCAGGAGUGAUAGGAGGAUAAUUAUUUCUAAACAAAAGCAUUCAGUGUUUCUAAUGCAGGAACUGUCAGCUAUGAAAAGUGGUCUGAUUGACACAAAGUCUAGAAUUAUAAUGUCUGGAUCUCAUCAGUUCCUGGCUGAACUCUUUGCAAUGGUCUGA
rnacentral:lncRNA from 1 species